rnacentral:rRNA from 1 species
GAGUUUGAUCAUGGCUCAGGAUGAACGCUGGCGGCAUGCCUAAUACAUGCAAGUCGAACGGAAUCUUAUAUGUUCCUCGUUUUGGAUUAAGUUCCAAGUUGAGGAACAAUAAAGAUUUAGUGGCGGACGGGUGAGUAACACGUUGGUACCUACCCUCUAGUGGGGAAUAACUUCGAGAAAUCGAGGCUAAUACCGCAUAAUAUCUACGGAUUAAAGCUUUAUGCGCUAGAGGAGGGGCCUGCGUCUGAUUAGCUUGUUGGUGAGGUAAAAGCUCACCAAGGCGACGAUCAGUAGCUGGAUCGAGAGGUUGACCAGCCACACUGGGACUGAGAUACGGCCCAGACUCCUACGGGAGGCAGCAGUAAGGAAUCUUCCACAAUGGGCGAAAGCCUGAUGGAGCAAUGCCGCGUGCAGGAUGACGGCCUUCGGGUUGUAAACUGCUUUUAUAUGGGAAGAUUAUGACGGUACCAUAUGAAUAAGGACCGGCUAACUACGUG